ACGAGGCGGGGCGAGGAGGGAGCAGGGCUGUGCGCGAGCCGCGGUCUACGUGGGCGCGCGAGCGGCGCGAGGUCGGGGGCGCGCGCGAGUGGCGCUGCAGCUAGCUGGUUGGCGGGACUGCUGCUGGCCCAGCUGAAAUGGUUCCUCCUCCUCCACCUCCGUCCCGGUUGCUUCUGGUAGCCCUGGUGGGUCUCCUGAGUCUUCACGAGGUGGUGGCUGAGCCGGCGGAGGAGGCAGGAACCCGUUGUCCCGAAGGCCUGUGGCCUCUGCCUCCACAGGCUGAGGGUAUCACUUUCUUCUACCACCCCUGUGCCCACCUCUGGCUGAAGCUCCAGCUUGCUGUCUUGGCCCAUUUGUGUGUGGCUAAGCCCACACUCAUUCCUGACUUCAGUCUCCCUUGGGACCGGCCCUUGGUGCUGACAGCAUGGGGGACUGCACUGGAGAUGGCUUGGAUAGAGCCAGCCUGGGCUGCCCAAUGGCUGAAGAGGCAGUGGCGGCGACGGAGGCGGAAGCAGAGAAAGAGUGUGUGGUUUCUCUCUGACAAUCUUUUUGGGCCCACUCCCAUGAUGCCAGCCCCCAGAAGAGGGAAGCUGUGUGGGAGACGCUGUGUACAGGCCCCGACUCUGGCUUUUGCUCUGCGGAGCUGGCGACCUCCUGGUGUAGAGGUGACAUCUAGAGGACCCAGGAGGUCCUCACUCAGUGUUGUCAAGAAAAGGGGUCUCCGUGCUGCCCUUGGUCUACAAUCCA
rnacentral:lncRNA from 1 species